rnacentral:rRNA from 1 species
GAUAAACGCUAGCGGCAGGCCUAACACAUGCAAGUCGAGGGAGAAGCCCUUCGGGGCAGAAACCGGCGCACGGGUGCGUAACGCGUAUGCAACCUACCUUUCACAGGGGGAUAGCCCGAAGAAAUUUGGAUUAAUACCCCAUAAUAUUAUUGGAUGGCAUCAUUUGAUAAUUAAAAUUACGAUGGUGAAAGAUGGGCAUGCGUCCUAUUAGCUAGUUGGAGUGGUAACGGCACCCCAAGGCUACGAUAGGUAGGGGUCCUGAGAGGGAGAUCCCCCACACUGGUACUGAGACAGGGACCAGACUCCUACGGGAGGCAGCAGUGAGGAAUAUUGGUCAAUGGUCGGAAGACUGAACCAGCCAUGCCGCGUGCAGGAAGAAUGCCUUAUGGGUUGUAAACUGCUUUUAUAUGGGAAGAAUAAGGAGUACGUGUACUUGAUGACG